UAGACUUGUACAACGUAUUACAAGUUGCGAAAAAGUGCAGUAUCUUGGCGGUUGAUGUUUUAGUCUUGACGUAGUUAAAUCAUGAAUACAAGCUCAUUGCAUUCAAGUUUGAAAAUGGGAGGACAUUCAUGUGCAAUUUUUUACCUUCAAAACUCAUAUUUACGAUUAUUCCAAGAGCACGUUAAGACAGCAUUAGCAGCACAGAUAAAUUACAUCUUUAUUUUGUCUGUUACCCUUUUGUGCUAAAUAUUUCUGCAAUACAUUUACGCUGCAGAUUACGGACACUGAAGACUUUAAGCAGGUAGGCUAUUGUUACUAACGUUACGUAAAAUAUGCAGACCUAUGUAUUAUAACUGCACUGAUAUUUAAGCGAUCAAUAACUAUUAAUAGAUUUAGUACAGUGUUCUAUAAUAGUUAAAACUCCUAACUGAUAAUGCUUGACUUUAACAAAGCUGGUCAUUGUUUCAAAACAAUUUUAAAAUGUUAUCUAUUUUUACGUGUAACGUUAAUCCAAAUAAUGUAAUGCAAUUGAAACAUUUGGUUUAAUUACCAAAUUCAUUUUUCAAUUUAAUAAUCAUAACAGAGUGGAUAUAUGAGGAUAACUGCAGUGUCCACUACCAUGCAUUACAUAUCAACAGGUGUAGAAUUAAUUUUGACAUUGUAGGAAACACAAACAAACAAAAACAUUAUGUGUAAACUUUGUGUUACAGAAAGUUCAAGUCUGGGUGGCCAAAAGUUACAUUUCAGUGAUCUGGUUACCGCCUCUCUCUGCAAACCCAAAGGAUCACUUUCCUCAGCGGAUCUGCCCCAAUCAUCAUUAACGGGACCACAGUGGAGAGAGUGAGUAGCUUCAAUACCUUCAAAUGCCCUGCAAAGAGUAGCUGAGCACAUGUCCAGAACAUCUCUCCCCUCUCUGCAAGACAUCCAAACCAGGAGAUGUAAAUCUAGGGCUGUUAAGAUCCUUAAAGACCCACCAACCCAUCUGCUACAGUCAGGCAGACACUUCUACAGUCUGAUGGCAAAGACGGAGAGGCUCAGGAGGAGUUUCUUCCCUCAUGUUAUCAGACUACUAAACAUGGACAUUAAACACACUGCACUUUAUAGACUGGUUGUUUAGGGCUACCCAAUAACUCUCUGCACACUGCGCUUUUUUGACAACCUAACUAGGUAUUUCAUCCUCACUGCACAUUGUGUACAUCUCUGCACAUUAUCUGUGUAGCACCUCUACAAAUCAUCUGUGUAGUAAUACAGUAUAUUGUGAAUAUUUCAUUAUUUGUAUUUAAUUAUCUCCAAAAAAAAAAAAAAAAACGUAUUUUUUUCCUGUUGUUUCAUUAUUUGUAUUUAAUUUUCUCUUAUUUAUUUUUUUUGCACGGUCUAAAAAGAGUAUGCCAGACCUACAUUUCACUGCUUUUUGCAUGUCAUAUAACAAAUAAACCUGAAAAAGUUACCUGUGAUUGAGUUGGUGAUAAAAAGGAGAUGGGGAAAUGAGUGUCUUAAAUUGGACUUUGGUACCAAUAAUAUUUUCCUCUUAAGUCUUGGAAUGUUUUUUUUUUAUUAUUAUUAUUAACUCUUGUAUUACUAUUUAGAUUUGUUUUCUUUUUUUAAAUUAAAUGUUUAUUUGUAAAAUGUA